rnacentral:rRNA from 1 species
AAGUAGCAAUACUUAGUGGCAGACGGGUGAGUAACAUGUAGGUAUCUGCCCUUUGGCCUGGAAUAACACGAGGAAACUUGUGCUAAUACCGGAUAAGUCUUUACGGAGAAAGCUUUAUGCACCAUUGGAUGAGCCUGCACUUGAUUAGUUUGUUGGUGGGGUAAUGGCCUACCAAGACUGUGAUCAAUAGCUGAUUUGAGAGGAUGAUCAGCCACAUUGGGACUGAGACACGGCCCAAACUCCUACGGGAGGCAGCAGUGGGGAAUCUUGCACAAUGGAGGAAACUCUGAUGCAGCGAUGCCGCGUGAGUGAAGAAGGCCCUUGGGUUGUAAAGCUCUUUCGUCGGGGAAGAAAAUGACUGUACCCGAAUAAGAAGGUCCGGCUAACUUCGUGCCAGCAGCCGCGGUAAUACGAAGGGACCUAGCGUAGUUCGGAAUUACUGGGCUUAAAGAGUUCGUAGGUGGUUGAAAAAGUUAGUGGUGAAAUCCCAGAGCUUAACUCUGGAACUGCCGUUAAAACUUUUCAGCUAGAGUAUGAUAGAGGAAAGCAGAAUUUCUAGUGUAGAGGUGAAAUUCGUAGAUAUUAGAAAGAAUACCAAUUGCGAAGGCAGCUUUCUGGAUCAUUACUGACACUGAGGAACGAAAGCAUGGGUAGCGAAGAGGAUUAGAUACCCUCGUAGUCCAUGCCGUAAACGAUGUGUGUUAGACGUUGGAAAUUUAUUUUCAGUGUCGCAGGGAAACCGAUAAACACACCGCCUGGGGAGUACGACCGCAAGGUUAAAACUCAAAUGAAUUGACGGGGACCCGCACAAGUAGUGGAGCAUGUGGUUUAAUUCGAAGAUACGCGCAGAACCUUACCAACACUUGACAUGUUCGUCGCGACUCUAAGAGAUUAGAGUUUUCGGUUCGGCCGGACGAAACACAGGUGCUGCAUGGCUGUCGUCAGCUCGUGUCGUGAGAUGUUGGGUUAAGUCCCGCAACGAGCGCAAC